GACGAACGCUGGCGGCGUGCCUAAUACAUGCAAGUAGAACGCUGAAGGAGGAGCUUGCUCUUCUGGAUGAGUUGCGAACGGGUGAGUAACGCGUAGGUAACCUGCCUGGUAGCGGGGGAUAACUAUUGGAAACGAUAGCUAAUACCGCAUAAGAGUAGAUGUUGCAUGACAUUUGCUUAAAAGGUGCAAUUGCAUCACUACCAGAUGGACCUGCGUUGUAUUAGCUAGUUGGUGGGGUAACGGCUCACCAAGGCGACGAUACAUAGCCGACCUGAGAGGGUGAUCGGCCACACUGGGACUGAGACACGGCCCAGACUCCUACGGGAGGCAGCAGUAGGGAAUCUUCGGCAAUGGACGGAAGUCUGACCGAGCAACGCCGCGUGAGUGAAGAAGGUUUUCGGAUCGUAAAGCACUGUUGUAAGAGAAGAACGAGUGUGAGAGUGGAAAGUUCACACUGUGACGGUAUCUUACCAGAAAGGGACGGCUAACUACGUG
rnacentral:rRNA from 1 species